rnacentral:rRNA from 1 species
CCUACGGGAGGCAGCAGUAGGGAAUAUUGCUCAAUGGGGGAAACCCUGAAGCAGCAACGCCGCGUGGAGGAUGAAGGCUUUCGGAUUGUAAACUCCUUUUGUCAGAGAAGAUAAUGACGGUAUCUAACGAAUAAGCACCGGCUAACUCCGUGCCAGCAGCCGCGGUAAUACGGAGGGUGCCAGCGUUAUUCGGAGUCACUGGGCGUAAAGGGCGCGUAGGCGGGAUAGCAAGUCAGAUGUGAAAUCCUAUGGCUUAACCAUGGGACUGCAUUUGAAACUGUUAUUCUAGAGUGCAGGAGAGGUAAGUGGAAUUCUUGGUGUAGGGGUAAAAUGCGUAGAGAUCAAGAGGAAUACUGAUUGCGAAGGCGGCCUGCUAGAACGUAACUGACGCUGAUGCGCGAAGGCGUGGGGAGCAAACAGGAUUAGAUACCCCGGUAGUC